rnacentral:rRNA from 1 species
UUGCCUACGGGUGGCAGCAGUAGGGAAUAUUGGACAAUGGGGGAAACCCUGAUCCAGCAAUGCCGCGUGAGUGAUGAAGGCCUUAGGGUUGUAAAGCUCUUUUACCCGAGAUGAUAAUGACAGUAUCGGGAGAAUAAGCUCCGGCUAACUCCGUGCCAGCAGCCGCGGUAAUACGGAGGGAGCUAGCGUUGUUCGGAAUUACUGGGCGUAAAGCGCACGUAGGCGGCGAUCUAAGUCAGAGGUGAAAGCCCGGGGCUCAACCCCGGAAUUGCCUUUGAGACUGGAUUGCUAGAAUCCGGGAGAGGUGAGUGGAAUUCCGAGUGUAGAGGUGAAAUUCGUAGAUAUUCGGAAGAACACCAGUGGCGAAGGCGGCUCACUGGACCGGCAUUGACGCUGAGGUGCGAAAGCGUGGGGAGCAAACAGGAUUAGAUACCCCGGUAGUCCCC